rnacentral:rRNA from 1 species
AUUGAACGCUGGCGGCAGGCCUAACACAUGCAAGUCGAGCGGAUGAAGGGAGCUUACUCCUGGAUUCAGCGGCGGACGGGUGAGUAAUGCCUAGGAAUCUGCCUGGUAGUGGGGGAUAACGUCCGGAAACGGGCGCUAAUACCGCAUACGUCCUGAGGGAGAAAGUGGGGGAUCUUCGGACCUCACGCUAUCAGAUGAGCCUAGGUCGGAUUAGCUAGUUGGUGGGGUAAAGGCCUACCAAGGCGACGAUCCGUAACUGGUCUGAGAGGAUGACCAGUCACACUGGAACUGAGACACGGUCCAGACUCCUACGGGAGGCAGCAGUGGGGAAUAUUGGACAAUGGGCGAAAGCCUGAUCCAGCCAUGCCGCGUGUGUGAAGAAGGUCUUCGGAUUGUAAAGCACUUUAAGUUGGGAGGAAGGGCAGUAAGUUAAUACCUUGCUGUUUUGACGUUACCAACAGAAUAAGCACCGGCUAACUUCGUG